rnacentral:rRNA from 1 species
GACGAACGCUGGCGGCGUGCUUAACACAUGCAAGUCGAACGAAGUGGCGAACGGGUGAGUAAAGCGUAAUCAACCUGCCCUUCAGAGGGGGACAACAGUUGGUAACGACUGCUAAUACCGCAUACAGAAGGAGGGGAUUGCGUCUGAUUAGCUCGUUGGAGGGGUAACGGCCCACAAAGGCGAUGAGCAGUAGCCGGUCUGAGAGGAUGAACGGCCACAUUGGGACUGAGACACGGCCCAGACUCCGACGGGGGGCAGCAGUGGGGAAUCUUCCGCAAUGGACGAAAGUCUGACGGAGCAACGCCGCGUGAGUGAUGACGGCCUUCGGGUUGUAAAGCUCUGUUAAUCGGGACGCGGUACCGGAAUAGAAAGCCACGGCUAACUACGUGCCAGCAGCCGCGGUAAUUC